rnacentral:rRNA from 1 species
AGAGUUUGAUCAUGGCUCAGAAUCAACGCUGGCGGCGUGCCUAACACAUGCAAGUCGAACGCGAAGAUCCCCGCAAGGGGAUUUGUAGCGUGGCAAACGGGUGAGUAACACGUGGGUGACCUGCCUUCGAGCGGGGGAUAACGUCCCGAAAGGGACGCUAAUACCGCAUGACAUCCUGCCUUUGAAGAGGUGGAGAUCAAAGCUGAGGAUCGCAAGACUUAGCACUCGAAGAGGGGCCCGCGCCUGAUUAGCUAGUUGGUGAGGUAACGGCUCACCAAGGCAACGAUCAGUAUCCGGCCUGAGAGGGCGGACGGACACACUGGGACUGAGACACGGCCCAGACUCCUACGGGAGGCAGCAGUGGGGAAUUGUUCGCAAUGGGCGCAAGCCUGACGACGCAACGCCGCGUGGAGGAUGAAGAUCUUCGGGGUCGUAAACUCCUUUCGAUCGAGACGAACGGCUUCCGUGCUAAUCAACGGAAGAGUGACGGUACCGAGAG